UACGAAGGGGGGCUAGCGUUGUUCGGAUUUACUGGGCGUAAAGCGUACGUAGGCGGAUUGGUCAGUUAGGGGUGAAAUCCCAGAGCUCAACUCUGGAACUGCCCUUAAUACUGCCAGUCUAGAGUCCGGAAGAGGUGAGUGGAACUCCUAGUGUAGAGGUGGAAUUCGUAGAUAUUAGGAAGAACACCAGUGGCGAAGGCGGCUCACUGGUCCGGUACUGACGCUGAGGUGCGAAAGCGUGGGGAGCAAACAGG
rnacentral:rRNA from 1 species